rnacentral:tRNA from 1 species
CCAGCGGAUAGCCGAUCUCGGCGGCAAGGCGGAUGGCAUCCGCCUCGGUGCGCGCCGUUCGGUUCGGCGGCUGCUUGA